AAUGCUCUAAAUGCAUGCUCUUCUUACCCUAACUUUUGUAGGAUCUUUCAAACUCGAUUUUGUGUGUCAUGACUUAAAAGUGAUAACGUUACUUACUUCAGGUAUGCUAAGUUCCUUAUUCAAAUUCAUAAUUGCAACGGAUUCGAUAGUAACUAUCUAUAAGUGCUAAUGAUCUAAUUUUUAAUCUUCGAAGCAAAAAAUUAUAUAAAAAAUCAGAAAGGUAGUUUGGUAUUCUAUUUUAUAGCAUUUUAAUUUGAUAGCCCUUUAUACUACCAUUGAUCAUUUUGAAAACAGUAGCGUUACAAUUAAACUAUAGACCAAAUCCAAUAUUACCACUUACUUAUCAAAUCUUCUUUGCUUCAAGAUAUGUUGAUGAUAUUACUGAAUCAUAUGCAAAAUUCCCCGUCGCAAUCCACUUUCGUUAUAUCAAGUGUAAUUGUAGUACACUCCUCCAAAACCAUUGAAAUGUAAACAAAAACAUCUUGAUUAAUUUCUCGUUAAUUAGUGAACACUUCAUAUACACUUUAUUUCGACUAUGACGCAGUUUGUGUUUUGAUGUGAAUUGUGCUGCUUGAUCAUUAUUAUUUGUUUCAGAUUCUAUGGCUGUUGCUUGAAAAUAUUUUGUAAUAUUAGUUAUACGGUGCUUUGAUUGUUUAUAGCUAAACAUGUAGUAAACAUGCAAAUGGCAUCUAGUCAUACAGAAAAUAGCCAAAAACAACGUCGAAUAGAUUAUUCAGGUUUGUUUCACGCCAUGGUUUAUUGCUUUGAAAUAUUAUGUGAUGACUAAGAUGGUAGGCAGACCAAGUUACGUUAGUGACAAGAAUGGCGUUGCAAACUUCCUUGCAAUGAAGAGACUAGCAGGUAAUCUAUGUGUGCCCAUUGAAUAUGUGUUGCACUUGACCACUUGCUUGUUCACUUUCCCUACAUCGAAUUCAUUCUAAUUACAAACAGAUAACAUUUCAAAUGGUAAAGCAAACAAGGAUGGGAUUUUUAGUCGAUGAAUCAUAUAUAGGCAGUUAUGGAAAAACAAGACUGCAAGUGAUUGGAGCGAUAAAACUCCGGUUUUCAAUUUGUUUUGGCAAUGCUCUGAUGAAACUUGAGAAUGUUUUUAUCGCAACGAGUUUGAACUGGUUUUACUGAACUUUAAUUUAUUCUUUACAUAUUCACGUGCAAAUUGUCUUGUCAUCUAAAAAACUUUGGAGUGCUAUUUCGAUACGGUUCGUACUUUGAAAUAUGCAUUAAAAAAAGUUUCUUA